UUCUUGCAAUUCUUUUCUUUGCUAGUAGCUAACUUUAAAUAUGGAGAGACUUGGGGUGGUAUUCUUUGGUUGAGCUGGUGGCAGAGCCUUUCUUGAGGCUUUUGCAAGUUCAAGGAUUUCCAUACUUCAUGUGGGUUUGUUCUUUUAGCUUAUUGAUUUACUAAUCCAUAUCACCUGUGUUGCAUUUGCUAUUAUCUGAGUUGGAUUUUUAUGUUUUCGACAAAGCAUAAUUGUUUUGUGUUAUCUUUCACGCAUGUGAUGAUUUAACUCGGAUUCCCCUUCAGGAUGUCAUGUAUGAUGUGAGCUCGAGUUUUCUGAUGCGUAAUGCAUUUGUCUUUUGAAAUGCCCUUUCUGUUUGUGUCUUUUUCAUCAGCUCAGUGUAUUAAGACAAGCUUUUUUCAUGCUUAUUCCUUUUUUGCUUACAAGGUUUUGUAUGUACUUGUUCUACCCAUUCUUGUCAUGGCUCAGUGCAAUGAGUCAUGCAUUUAUUUAUUUUUUUCUUUAUGUCCCUUCAAUGUAUUUGUAGAAGUUGUGUUUACUACUAUAUUGAGCAUGUGACGAAGUACUCGGAUUCCCCUUCAAGACAUAAUGGGUGAUGUAAGUCGAGUUUCUGAUGC